rnacentral:rRNA from 1 species
UACGUAGGGUGCAAGCGUUGUCCGGAAUUAUUGGGCGUAAAGAGCUCGUAGGCGGUUUGUCGCGUCUGCUGUGAAAACGCGAGGCUCAACCUCGCGCCUGCAGUGGGUACGGGCAGACUAGAGUGCGGUAGGGGAGAUUGGAAUUCCUGGUGUAGCGGUGGAAUGCGCAGAUAUCAGGAGGAACACCGAUGGCGAAGGCAGGUCUCUGGGACGGUACUGACGCUGAGACGCGAAAGCGUGGGGAGCAAACAGG